UACGGGGGGGCGAGCGUUGUCCGAAGUUACUGGGCGUAAAGCGCGUGUAGGCGGGUUGUUAAGUCCGCUGUGAAAGCCCGGUGCUCAACGCCGGAGGGUCGGUGGAUACUGGCAGUCUUGAAGUGGCUAGGGGGAAAUGGAAUUACCGGUGUAGCGGUGAAAUGCGUAGAUAUCAGGAAGAACACCCGUGGCGAAAGCGGCUCUCUGGAACGGUACUGACGCUGAGACGCGAAAGCGUGGGGAGCGAACAGG
rnacentral:rRNA from 1 species